rnacentral:rRNA from 1 species
GACGAACGCUGGCGGCGUGCCUAAUACAUGCAAGUUGAGCGCUGAAGGUUGGUACUUGUACCGACUGGAUGAGCAGCGAACGGGUGAGUAACGCGUGGGGAAUCUACCUUUGAGCGGGGGACAACAUUUGGAAACGAAUGCUAAUACCGCAUAAAAACUUUAAACACAAGUUUUAAGUUUGAAAGAUGCAAUUGCAUCACUCAAAGAUGAUCCCGCGUUGUAUUAGCUAGUUGGUGAGGUAAAGGCUCACCAAGGCGAUGAUACAUAGCCGACCUGAGAGGGUGAUCGGCCACAUUGGGACUGAGACACGGCCCAAACUCCUACGGGAGGCAGCAGUAGGGAAUCUUCGGCAAUGGACGAAAGUCUGACCGAGCAACGCCGCGUGAGUGAAGAAGGUUUUCGGAUCGUAAAACUCUGUUGGUAGAGAAGAACGUUGGUGAGAGUGGAAAGCUCAUCAAGUGACGGUAACUACCCAGAAAGGGACGGCUAACUACGUG